rnacentral:rRNA from 1 species
UACCAGCACCCCGAGUGGUCGGGACGAUUAUUGGGCCUAAAGCGUCCGUAGCCGGUUUUACAAGUCCUCCGUUAAAUCCACCUGCUUAACAGAUGGGCUGCGGAGGAUACUAUAGAGCUAGGAGGCGGGAGAGGCAAGCGGUACUUAGUGGGUAGGGGUAAAAUCCGUUGAUCCAUUGAAGACCACCAGUGGCGAAGGCGGCUUGCCAGAACGCACUCGACGGUGAGGGAUGAAAGCUGGGGGAGCAAACCGG